rnacentral:rRNA from 1 species
CGUACGAUCACCGAUGUUAAGCAACGUCGGGCCUGGUCAGUACCUAGAUGGGUGACCGCUUGGAAAUACAAGGUGCUAUA